rnacentral:lncRNA from 1 species
CUUUAAUAUGAAGGGUAAAGCCAUCAGCACACUAGUAUAAAAGAUGAUUGUGGAUAAGUAGUUAAAGCUUCUAAGUGCAGGAUAGAUGCUCGAGAAAAUAUCAUACCCCUGACAUAGAGCGGCCUCAUAAUUUUUUUUAAAAUUUUCUUCUUUUGCUUUGAUGAUUCGAUUGUUUUGUUUUUAAAUUUUGGCUGACUCGUAUGGAAGGAAGAAUGGGAUGAUUGUGGAUAACUAAAACUUCUAAGUGCGUGCCGUGUGGAUGCUUGGAAAAAUAGCAAAUGCAUGGCAUAAAGCAGUCUCGUAUUUGCCCUUCUUUUCAUUUUCCUUUUUCUCCAUUUGAUUGUUCUAUUUCCCAAAUGGCUACUGAAACUACAUUCAGCAAGUUACCGUCAACACGCAUGUGAAAGCAGUCCUGUUUUCUUUUUCCCCUUGGUCGAGGGAUGCCGUACGUGUUGACUCCACCGGACUAAAACUCCUAUCAAGCUGAUGCGAGAUUUUUUGGUUAGACCAGGUUUACCAAUGAGUAGGUGGAACAGUCCAAUCACGAAUAAACAUGUACAAACAUGUUUUUCCCCUUUCAUCUUUUUGUUUACCUUUAUACGUGUUAGCUUGUGGUCGAACCGGUCCGCCUCUAAGCUGAUGAACCUAGCCUAACAAAUAAUUUCUCCAAUCUGAUGGAGCUUUUAAUCCAAGAAAGCAAGACGCAAGGUUACGGAGAAAUUCAUUGCAUCAGAACAUCUGGCUAGCACCGGGGUUGUCCUUGGAUGCGUGAAAUGUCGAUCUCACGAUUGGUGGCAAAAUAG